rnacentral:misc_RNA from 1 species
GAUGAAGAACGCAGUGAAAUGCGAUAAGUAAUGUGAAUUGCAGAAUUCAGUGAAUCAUCGAAUCUUUGAACGCACAUUGCGCCCGCCAGUAUUCUGGCGGGCAUGCCUGUUCGAGCGUCAUUACGCCCCUCAAGUCCCCUGUGGACUUGGUGUUGGGGAUCGGCGAGGCUGGUUUUCCAGCACAGCCGUCCCUUAAAUUAAUUGGCGGUCUCGCCGUGGCCCUCCUCUGCGCAGUAGUAAAACACUCGCAACAGGAGCCCGGCGCGGUCCACUGCCGUAAAACCCCCCAACUUUUUAUAGUUGACCUCGAAUCAGGUAGGACUACCCGCUGAACUUAAGCAUAUCAAUAAGCGGAGGA